rnacentral:rRNA from 1 species
AUUGAACGCUGGCGGCAUGCCUUACACAUGCAAGUCGAACGGCAGCACGGGAGCAAUCCUGGUGGCGAGUGGCGAACGGGUGAGUAAUAUAUCGGAACGUGCCCAGUCGUGGGGGAUAACGCAGCGAAAGCUGUGCUAAUACCGCAUACGAUCUAAGGAUGAAAGCGGGGGAUCGCAAGACCUCGCGCGAUUGGAGCGGCCGAUAUCAGAUUAGCUAGUUGGUGGGGUAAAGGCCCACCAAGGCGACGAUCUGUAGCUGGUCUGAGAGGACGACCAGCCGCACUGGAACUGAGACACGGUCCGGACUCCUACGGGAGGCAGCAGUGGGGAAUUUUGGACAAUGGGCGCAAGCCUGAUCCAGCAAUGCCGCGUGCAGGAUGAAGGCCUUCGGGUUGUAAACUGCUUUUGUACGGAACGAAACGGCCCUUUCUAAUACAGGGGGCUAAUGACGGUACCGUAAGAAUAAGCACCGGCUAACUACGUGCCAGCCGCCGCGGUAACAC